CCUACGGGAGGCAGCAGUGGGGGAUAUUGCACAAUGGGGGAAACCCUGAUGCAGCGACGCCGCGUGGGUGAAGAAGUAUUUCGGUAUGUAAAGCCCUAUCAGCAGGGAAGAAAGAAGACGGUACCUGACUAAGAAGCCCCGGCUAACUACGUGCCAGCAGCCGCGGUAAUACGUAGGGGGCGAGCGUUAUCCGGAUUCACUGGGUGUAAAGGGAGCGUAGACGGCCGUGCAAGCCAGGAGUGAAAGCCCGGGGCCCAACCCCGGGACUGCUCUUGGAACUGGGCGGCUGGAGUGCGGGAGGGGCAGGCGGAAUUCCUGGUGUAGCGGUGAAAUGCGUAGAUAUCAGGAGGAACACCGGCGGCGAAGGCGGCCUGCUGGACCGCGACUGACGUUGAGGCUCGAAAGCGUGGGGAGCGAACAGGAUUAGAUACCCGGGUAGUC
rnacentral:rRNA from 1 species